AGGCUUCACUGGGCAGGGUUUGGACUGGUCCAUCAGGGAAGGGCAUGGUCUUCCAUCACCUUGAAAGGGCUGGGUCACUGUUCGUCUUCGGAUCAUUUUUCCUUGAAGAGAUACAAAGUGAUGCACCUUUAAUAUAUGUUAUGGUUUUGCAAGCAUAUAUCUCAUUGGGAGAAGGCAUCACAGUGAUAUCUCCUGAGGCAAUCCAGGAACAAAUCUAUUGAGGCUCCUACUUAUCUUGGUUGGUAUUUGACCCAGUGGACCUCAGAUGCAUGGAGAGUCAACAUUUGUCAUGUUUUUGGGCUCUACCUGGACCUGCCAACCCAGUUCCUGUGCGCCCCUCAGAAGAAUUCAGCCUGCAGGAGGACAGCUUUGACCCCUGUGAUUUCAUCUCUGCCCCAACCAAUCAGCAGCAAGCACCCAUUCCCUGGCAGUCCCACCCCUUCCCCCAAACUGCCUUUGAAAAACCCCUACCUAGGAGCCUUAGACAAUAUUGAUUUGAGUACUAACUCCAUCUUCCAUGUGGCAUGGCUGGCCUUAUGUCUAUUAAACUCUUUCUUUACUGC
rnacentral:lncRNA from 10 species